CAUUGCCUUAGUAGCGGCGAGUGAGCGGCAAAAGCUCAAAUUUGAAAUCUGGCUCUUUCAGAGUCCGAGUUGUAAUUUGAAGAAGGUAUCUUUGGGUCUGGCUCUUGUCUAUGUUUCUUGGAACAGAACGUCACAGAGGGUGAGAAUCCCGUGCGAUGAGAUGAUCCAGGCCUAUGUAAAGUUCCUUCGAAGAGUCGAGUUGUUUGGGAAUGCAGCUCUAAGUGGGUGGUAAAUUCCAUCUAAAGCUAAAUAUUGGCGAGAGACCGAUAGCGAACAAGUACAGUGAUGGAAAGAUGAAAAGAACUUUGAAAAGAGAGUGAAAAAGUACGUGAAAUUGUUGAAAGGGAAGGGCUUGAGAUCAGACUUGGUAUUUUGUAUGUUACUUCUUCGGGGGUGGCCUCUACAGUUUAUCGGGCCAGCAUCAGUUUGGGCGGUAGGAGAAUUGCGUUGGAAUGUGGCACGGCUUCGGUUGUGUGUUAUAGCCUUCGUCGAUACUGCCAGCCUAGACUGAGGACUGCGGUUUAUACCUAGGAUGUUGGCAUAAUGAUCUUAAGUCGCCCGUCUUG
rnacentral:rRNA from 1 species